CAGCGAAUGAUGCAAGUACAACAGUGGAAACUGCAACUUCCGCAACAGUGACUGAUCCACCUACAACUACUUUAGCUUCAACUGACGCAACAGCGACUGCUGCAAGUACAACAGUGGAUCCUGCAACAGUGACUGAUGCACCUACAACCACAAGAGCGUCAACUGACACAACAACGACUGCUGCAAGUACAACAGCGGAUCCGGCAACUUCUGCAACAGUGACUGAUGAACCUACAACUGCAGCAGCUUCAACUGCCACACCAGCGACUGAUGCCCCUACAACUACAGCAGCAACGACUGCUGUCCCGACAACAGCAGCAUCUUCAACUGACGCCACAGCAACUGCUGCAAGUACAACAGCGGAUCCUGCAACGUCUGCAACAGUGACAGAUGACGUUUCAACUGCAGUAGCAACGACUGCUGCACCUACAACUGCAGCAGCUUCAACUGCCACAACAGCGACUGAUGCAAGUACAACAGUGGAAACUGCAACUUCCGCAACAGUGACUGAUCCACCUACAACUACUUUAGCUUCAACUGACGCAACAGCGACUGCUGCAAGUACAACAGCGGAUCCUGCAACGUCUGCAACAGUGACAGAUGACCUUACAACUGCAUUAGCAACGACUGCUGCAACUACAACUGCAGCAGCUUCAACUGCCACAACAGCGAAUGAUGCAAGUACAAC
ensembl:lncRNA